UACGUAGGGUGCAAGCGUUGUCCGGAAUUAUUGGGCGUAAAGAGCUCGUAGGCGGUCUGUCGCGUCUGCUGUGAAAACUCGGGGCUUAACUCCGGGCCUGCAGUGGGUACGGGCAGACUAGAGUGCGGUAGGGGAGACUGGAAUUCCUGGUGUAGCGGUGAAAUGCGCAGAUAUCAGGAGGAACACCGAUGGCGAAGGCAGCCAUCUGGACCGACACUGACGCUGAGGCGCGAAAGCGUGGGGAGCAAACAGG
rnacentral:rRNA from 1 species